rnacentral:rRNA from 1 species
UGGCGGCGUGGAUAAGACAUGCAAGUCGAACGAGAGAAUUGCUAGCUUGCUAAUAAUUCUCUAGUGGCGCACGGGUGAGUAACACGUGAGUAACCUGCCCCCGAGAGCGGGAUAGCCCUGGGAAACUGGGAUUAAUACCGCAUAGUAUCGAAAGAUUAAAGCAGCAAUGCGCUUGGGGAUGGGCUCGCGGCCUAUUAGUUAGUUGGUGAGGUAACGGCUCACCAAGGCGAUGACGGGUAGCCGGUCUGAGAGGAUGUCCGGCCACACUGGAACUGAGACACGGUCCAGACACCUACGGGUGGCAGCAGUCGAGAAUCAUUCACAAUGGGGGAAACCCUGAUGGUGUGACGCCGCGUGGGGGAAUGAAGGUCUUCGGAUUGUAAACCCCUGUCAUGUGGGAGCAAAUUAAAAGGAUAGUACCACAAGAGGAAGAGACGGCUAACUCUGUGCCAGCAGCCGCGGUAAUACAGAGGUCUCAAGCGUUGUUCGGAAUCACUGGGCGUAAAGCGUGCGUAGGCUGUUUCGUAAGUCGUGUGUGAAAGGCGCGGGCUCAACCCGCGGACGGCACAUGAUACUGCGAGACUAGAGUAAUGGAGGGGGAACCGGAAUUCACGGUGUAGCA